CUGCGCACCGCGGAGGGCUGCGGUGGGGGCGCCAGGCCGUCUUGCUCCGCCCCUCGCCCCGCCCGCGGCCCUGCGGUCUGGAGGACCCCGAGCGCCCGGCCCAACCCUCGGAGGGAGGAGGGUCCAGGUGCCGCAGACUCUGAGCCCCUGGCCCGGCGUCCGCCCGGCAGGACCCGGCACUCCUGGCUGGGCAAAUAAAUUACUGUUCAGUGAAUGAGACCGACGAAGGCUUUGUGGAAGAGAGAGAAUUUAAAAAGGGACGGAGGAUGGGUAAUGGGUAAGAUUUCGGCAUGCAGAAUUCCUGUGCAGGAGGAGAAAUCCAGCAUUCUGGGGAUGGCAGACAACUGCAGGCAAAGGGACAGAUAGCACAGGCCCCAGUGUAAGGAACAAUGAGUAAUUUCCAUAUGAAAAUCAUGGAAAAAGGCAGAGGAGGAAAUGGCCAGGUGCUGUUAAGGAUGGGAGAACAUUUUCAGGGUCACUGACUAAAUAAAGAUAGCACACAGGAAUAAAAAUAGGCAUAUCAUAUAAAAGAAUUUAUGACAAAA